rnacentral:rRNA from 1 species
CGUCAGAGCGAACGCCUAGCGGCAGGCUUAAUACAUGCAAGUCGAGGGGCAGCACGGUUAGCAAUAACUGGUGGCGACCGGCGCACGGGUGCGUAACACGUAUACAAUACUACCUUAAACAGGGGGAUAGCCUUUCGAAAGAGAGAUUAAUACCCCGUAAUAAAUUGAACGGCAUCGUUUGAUUUUGAAAGCUCCGGCGGUUUGAGAUGAGUAUGCGUCUGAUUAGCUAGUUGGUGAGGUAACGGCUCACCAAGGCGACGAUCAGUAGGGGAUCUGAGAGGACUAACCCCCCACACCGGUACUGAGACACGGACCAGACUCCUACGGGAGGCAGCAGUAAGGAAUAUUGGUCAAUGGAGGCAACUCUGAACCAGCCAUGCCGCGUGCAGGAUGACGGCCCUAUGGGUUGUAAACUGCUUUUAUACAAGAGAAAACCCUGGUACGUGUACCAGGUUGAUAGUAUUGUAAGAAUAAGCAUCGGCUAACUUCGUG